rnacentral:rRNA from 1 species
UACGUAGGGUGCGAGCGUUAAUCGGAAUUACUGGGCGUAAAGCGUGCGCAGGCGGUUUUGUAAGCCAGAUGGGAAAUCCCCGGGCUCAACCUGGGAAUGGCAUUUGGGACUGCAAGGCUAGAGUGUGACAGAGGGGGGUGGAAUUCCACGUGUAGCAGUGAAAUGCGUAGAGAUGUGGAGGAACACCGAUGGCGAAGGCAGCCCCCUGGGUUAACACUGACGCUCAGGCACGAAAGCGUGGGGAGCAAACAGG